UAUUUUCUGCUAACAUAUGAAAGAUUAAUAUUACUUUGCUUUCAAGUGUUUUCUUGGUUCAAACCCAUCAGACCUGUAAACAAAGAGCUUUAGCUCAGAGAUUUGUUGUUAGUUACAAAUUACAGUAUUCUCACUUGUUGUCACUUCUCCUGAUUCUAGACAAACACUCUGUGGGAGGCCAGGUCACUCUCCAGACAAGCAGAAUCAUUUACAAUAUGAACCAUGAACUAGUGCCAUAUUUUUAUUCAGUAGCACUGGAAAUGAAUGUAAGAGCAAGAGACAGAAUGAAAAAUGUUCAUGCUAUUACAAGAUAUGUAAAGGUGCAGAAGGGAAGAGGAAAUCUCUGCAGACAGCAGAUAAUUGGAGAACUGACAAUAUUGUCUGAAUGGAUGACUGUUGCCUGCCAUGUUAGUUGAAGACCCUGAAUACUUCCAGGUGAAACCAAUGUAAGACAGCAAGCAGACUAGCUGAUUAAGGAUUGACACUGAAAACAAAACCCUAAUUUUGUGUCGAUUCUCUGUCCCAAAA